rnacentral:lncRNA from 1 species
ACCGAUGUUGAGGUUUGACGAUUCAUCUAUGACCUGCUAUCUGAUCGAGAUUCAUGAUAAAGAUACUGUAUUACAUGUUAACUGUAUUUAGAGGUUUAUCUUUUAUUCUGCUAGGUUGCCAUUACAUACUGUUAGGUGUUACUGGUGGAUUGUGAGACUCAUGAGGAUUAUCUUGAUGAUCAAUGAUCCUUGGUGGGUUGAGUUAGAAUUGUUUCAAUCCAUUGAAAAGAGUUUCAAUGAUAUUGUGAUAGAGAUUACAAUAUAUGUCUCACUACCAAAUAAAAUAGAAUCUAUAAGGUCACAAAUAAAAGAGGC